UGGCAGGACAGCAUGUCAAAACAAGCCGCCAUCUUGUCAGUUCACCAGGCAACCAAGAAGUGCUUCGAAGUGAUAGGGCAGCAGCAGAGUGUUUGGGACUGCACCCUGGCAGACUGCUUACCUCUCCUCAGUUCCCUGAGCAGCCUGGGAGAGCAGCUUCAAUCAUGCAGCAAGGUCCGCUUCAAGAACACACCUUUACAGGGCUUUCCUGAGCUGGAACAGCGGCUGAGAUGCAAACUCAUCCAAGCUGUGGAAACAGUGCUGGGAAAACUGGGGGAGAAAAUGAGUGUUCUGCAAACUGUUCAAGAUGCUGUCAGUAACCAAGUGGCUACAGUUUUCCAGCAGUAUGAACAACAUGCAGACACAAUUGGCCUCAGUGCUUCAAUUGAGAGGUCAUCUCUUGCUCCCUCAGUGGCAGACAUGCUGGAAUGGCUACAGUAGACCUUCAGAAUGUUACAUGUACUGUUAGGCUAGUUGGAGAUACAUUUACGAUAAUGUUCUCGCCUUCCCUCUUGGAAAAAGCUCUUUAUAUUCAUGUAUAUUUAAUACCUGUCUUCAAAGAUUGUGAGAAAAAUGCCUGACCAUAUCAGGGUUGCCCACAAGGACACAGAAACAUCCCACUAUGAUAGCCCUCUAACUCUUAUAGUAAGUAGUCCAUCUAUAUUUUUGAUAAUCUGGAGUUUUAUUCCCCUGCAGGGAAGUACAGAUGCAUGAAUAGUUGGAUCAACUAGUACUAGUAUGCAAGCACUGUAGAGGUUAACAGCAUUUCACAAACGCAAACCAUUUAAAGACUUAAGCAUUCUAGAAAGAGUGUUUUAGGACUGAAUAUUGGUAAAAUGAGUGUGCUAAAAUGUAUUUAUUUGUAUCAUUCUUUACAGACAUUAUAACCAGCGUUUUGUUUUGUCUCUUACCUGUUCAUUCCUUUACUUUACAUCAAUAUUCUUAAAGAGGAAGCUUUUACUUCAGACAAUAAAGCCUGACAACUUUUCACACAUACAAGCACUCCCUCAGUCCUGGAACAGGGUGUCUACUCAAAAGGGACAGGAACUGAUACAAGAUACACUGAUGAAGGUUUCAUUUUUCAUGGACUCCCAUUGAACUUGAAAAGAAACUUCAGGUCAAAUAAAACAGAUCCAUACAGUAGUACAGUUAGACAUUUCAUUACCUGCAUUGUAUGCACUGACAGCUGACAGUGGCUGCUGAAAACAUGAUUGAACUGCAUUGGAAGGAGAGUGUUGGAUAACACCACAAAACUGGCAGACGCAGGAAUGCUGGGUUGGGAAAUACUGCCUUUCUGUUUUAAGUUUCCAUUGACUAUUGGUGCAAUAGCUGAGUUUGCCCAUAAGAUGGCAGCAAUGCCCUUACAUGCACCGUGUCCGAACAAAUGACUGGAGCUGAAGAAACACAAGAAGAAAAGCAGCCAAACAAAUGAUGGCAAAAGGUACAUUUAAAGACGUUGUUUUAAAGGAUCAGUUACUGUUUUUUAAUUGUUGCAAAUUUGCUAAAAGGCUACAACUGCUACUUGCCUACUGUACUAGUAAUAAAAUAUUAAUGUAAAAAAAUAUGCAUUUGUAGAGUGACAAUCUUUUGUGGAGCUGCAUCAUUUUUGAUCAUUAUCUGCUUUACAUGAUGACCUAUGUGAUAGGUAAAACAUACUGUAGGGCUGGUUUUACCCAAAUCUUGCAGUACCUUCAACUGGCCAGGCGCAAAGUUGUUUCUUAGACACUAGAUUGGCAGGCCUUAUUUAUGAGUCUGUUUGAUUGUUUCCUUACAAUGGAGCCAAAAUACAUUUGUUCAGUGUUCUCUUGUACUAUCCAGUCUGCACUGUUCAACUAGCAAGUACAGAUCCCUAAAAUCUUAAUGUCCCUGUUAUACUCUUGGCGGGCUUCGCGUUGGAAUAAAAUUCAAACUGUUUUAUUUUUAUGGUUUUGUAUUUUUUAGAUUUGACUCUUGGCGCAAUGUUUUAUAAAAUGGAUUAUAGGGCCAUAUUAAGUGUCCUUGAUUCACAUGAAUUUGAAGGAAAAAAAAACUGGGUAGUUCUCUGACGUCCGUCCAUUGUUUAGAUUAGAAGGUGCUGGAAACAACAUCCAUAUGGAGCUAUAUCAAGUAUGGAGAUCUAGAACUAUCUUUCUAUCUGUCCAUCCAUAGUUGAGUCUCCUGUAAAAAUAACAUUGCAGUUUUAAUCUGCAGUCCUGUAUUCUAGUAAUGCCUUCUUGCAUGACUGUAUUUGAGUCUGUAUUUUUAAAGCAUUCGGUGUGCACUGAAGUCCUACAUGGGUUGGACAGAAAAAAAAAAAAGAAAAACCUUCAAUACCCAUAACAUGCUUUUAUGU